AGAGUUUGAUUAUGGCUCAGGAUGAACGUUGGCUGUGUGCCUAACGUAUGCAAGUCGAACGAACUCGCUACGCUUAUAGUCGCUUGCGACUAUAAUUUAGCGUGUGAGUGGCAAACGGGUGAGUAACACGUGGAUAACCUGCCUUAAAGUCAUGAACAGCUCAUCGAAAGAUGGGAUAAUACAUGAUAGUCUUACAAUUUCUAUCCGACUUUGUAAGUAAAGCUCCGGCGCUUUAAGAUGGGUCCGCGUCCUAUCAGCUUGUUGGUGAGGUAAUAGCUCACCAAGGCUAAGACGGGUAGCUGGCGUGAGAGCGCGGUCAACCACCAUGGAACUGAGACACGGUCCAUACUCCUACGGGAGGCAGCAAUUAGGAAUCUUGCACAAUGGGGGCAACCCUGACGCAUCGACACAGCGUGGAGGAUGACGGUCUUCGGAUUGUAAACUCCUUUUAUGUGGGAAGAAUAAAUGACGGUACCAUAUGAAUAAGCACCUGCUAACUACGUGCCACAAGCAUCGGUGAUACGUAGGGUGCGAACGUUAUCCGGAUUUAUUGGGCGUAUAGAGAUGCGUAGGCGUUUCUGUAAGUCUAAAGUUAAAGCCCACGGCUCAACCGUGGAAAAGCUUUGGAAACUGCAGAAAUUGAGACAGGAAGAGGCGAAUGGAAUUCCCAGUGGAGCGGUGAAAUGCGUUGAUAUUGGGAGGAACAUCAGUGGCGAAGGCGAUUCGCUGGUCCUUGUCUGACGCUGAGGCUCGAAAGCGUGGGUAGCUGAACGGAUUAGAUACACGUGUAGUCCACGCCGGAAACUAUGGAUGCUAGGUGUUCGGUACAACUCUUUUUUCCUUCGGGAAAGAAAGGAAGUAUUGCGUGCCGCAGCUAAAGCCUUAAGCAUCCCCCCCUGGGAAGGACGGGCGCAAGGCUAAAACUCAAGUGAAUUGGCGGGGACCCGCACAAGCAGAGGAGCGCGUGGUUUAAUUCGACGGCAGUCGAAGAGCCUUACCUGGGUUUGAAAUGUAUAUGCAUGCCCUAUGAAAAUAGGGAGGCCUUCGAGGGUGAUACACAGGUGUUGCAUGUCCGCCGUCAGCUAGUGUCGUGAGAUGUAGGGUUAAGUCCCGAAACGAGCGCAACCCCUAUUCUAUGUUACAAGUGUCUUAGAAAACCGCUCUCGGUAAAACGAGGAGGAAGGUGGGGAUGACGUCUGGUCCGCAUAGCCCUUAUGUCCUGGGCUACACACGCGCUACAAUGUCCGAUACAGUAGGAUGUCAAAUCGUAAGAUGGAGCUAAUCCUCAAAGUCGGUCUCAGUUCGGAUUGAGGUUUGAAAUUCGACCUCAUGAAGUUGGAUUUGCUAGUAAUCGUAGAUCAGCAAUGCUACGGUGAAUACUUUCUAGGGUUUUUCACACACCAUCCCGUCAAGCCAUGGAAGUAGGUGAUACCGGAAGGUGUCCCGCUAACUUAUAGUCUGAGAGUGGAAAGGUUCCCUUGUAGUAUCUUUCGCACUACAGGUUAGCGGGAUGACGAAGGUAACGUUUAUAACUGGGGUUAAGUCGUAACAAGGUAACCG
rnacentral:rRNA from 1 species